rnacentral:lncRNA from 1 species
CUUACCUGAGCUAUCCUGAGCUCAUCAAAGGACAGAAAUCUGCUGAGACCCUUGUUCUAAUCUCUUUAUUGAUAGGCACAACAGCUUGAAGAAACCAAAUGGACUGGAUGCCAAAAGCAACUUUGUGACCCCCUAUCAGAGGAAGUCAAGACUGGUGAGAAAUUGGUGCAGACCAAAGGAGGCAUUAACAGAGCCAAGACUGCAAGUGAUACAGCCUAGGCAUGUGUAACAGAAACAGCUUUGACCUCUAACAACAUCCAGAACCAAUGAUUCCUCCUCAUGGAACCAAGAAGAUGGGACAUGACCAGAACCUGCUGCAAUAUGACCGCCGGCACUCUUUCAAAGCAAGGGGUCUGUUGGCCAGGAAGAUCUGGGACUAAAAUCUGCGUCAACAUGCCUUACUGUAAAUGGUCAAAUUUGAAGACCUCCAACUGGACCUUGCCAAGCCAACAUUUGUAAAUCCUUUCUCUUGUCAUCCAACCCCUUAAUACUUGCCCCAGGCCCCAAGUGAGGGAGACUGAUUUGAGUCCUUCUCCUGUCUCCUCGCUGGCCAGCCUUGUAACAAAGCCUUUCUUUUCUCAAAAGCUGGUGCCAUAGUAUUAGUUUCUAUGUGUGUGGGGCAGGGAGUCCAUUUGCUGUAUAACAGUCGCUCAAUAUCCACCACCAGCAUGAACAAACACUAAUGUUUUCCAUACUUGCUUCUGAAUCCUUUAAAUGAAAAAAAUAGAUGAUGAAACUGAGCUCCCUUUUAGGUCUGUCUCCAAUUUUAUUCCCUUUUCUCCCAAAGUCAUGAAUGUGUAUUUUUUCUCAUCCAUGUUGUUAUGUACAUGUGUUACCUAUAUUUUUCAAUAAAUAGCAUGCAGCAAUAUUUUGCACUUUUAUUCCAUAGAUGUUAUCAUAAUGAACAAUCGAUCUGCAAUGUGUUUUUCUAGACAUUAGAUUUUUAAGAUCUAUGUUGAUAUAUAAAGACCACUUUAUUCAUUUUUAACUCCUGAAUGGUGUUUCCUUUUAUGAAUAUGUCAUGCUUAUUCAUUUGUCUAAUGAUGGACAUUUAAGUUGUUUUCAAUUUUUGUUAUUGCAACAAUAUACAAUGAGUAUCCUUGUAUUUAUUCUUGGUGGAAAUGGGUGAGUUUCUCUGCAAUAUCUAUAUAGCAGUGAAAUUUGGGGGUAUUAAAAAUAUAGCCAUAUUCGUCUUUUUUUCUAGGUAGGACCAAAACCAUCUGUAGUUUAUACACUCCUGCCCCGGCACUGUGUUUCCAUUAUGUCCCAUCAUUGCUUAUACUUGGUACUUUUAGACUUUCAAUAUUUUGCCAAUCUGAUGGGUGAAAAUGUUUUUAUUUAAUUUAUGACUUUAUUGAGGCAUAACUGAUGUAUAACAAACUGCAUAUAUUUAAAGGGUACAAUUUGAUGAAUUUUAAGAAAUGCUUAUACCCAUAAAACCAGCACCACAAUUGAGAUAUUGAAGAUUUCCGUCACCUCUAAGUUUCCUUGUGCCUCUUUGCAAUUCAUUUCUUUCUCAAUUUUUUAUUCACUCAAUGCGCUGUAGACGUUGAUCAUCUUGUUCUUAAAAUAGUAUUUUUUUUUCAUGUGUCUACAUGAUGGAACAAUGAAAAAGGAAAACCAAUUGACAUUUCCAUUGUAUUAGGGAAAAGGUCCCAUUUUAAAAAGAAGGGAGAACACAUAGCAAUGUAGAAAGUAGUUAAGAACACUGAUAAAAUGAGACUGCCUUAUUUACAUCUUUCCCUCCACUUCUGAUCCUGGGUGUGGUAAACAGGAGAUGGCCUCAAGUUUCCCACCCCUUGGUGUACAAACCCUGUGUAAUUUCCUAACCUGAAUGUGAGUGGAACCUGUAAAAAUAAUGAUACAACACUCACUGAUUAGCCUACAUUAUGUGGCAAAGGGGAAGAGUUCUUGCAAUAUGUAAUGAAUAUCCCUAAUCAGUUGACUUUAAGUUAAUCAAAAGAGAGGCUAUCCCAAAUGGGCCUGAUAUAAUAUAUGAGCUCUUUAAAAGAGGUUCUAAAAGUCAGAAACAGAAGCCACAAAGAUUUGAAAAAGCAGGCAAGCUGUCCUGGUAGCCUGGAAGAACCAAACUGCCAUGUGUGAAGAGGGCCCUGUGGCAGAGAAGGGCAGGGCCUGUAGGAGUGUGGGGCCUCAGUCCUCCAGCUGUAAAGAACUGAAUCCUGCCAACAACCAAAGAGCUUGCAAGAGGACCUAAAGCCUCAGAUGAGAUUGCAGCCCUGAUUUCAGUCUGAGCAGAGUGCCUGGGUAACUCUUGCCCCAUGGAAACUAGGAGAAAAUAAAUGUGCGUUGUUUUAAGUCUCUAAGCUCAAGGUAAUUUAAUAUGCAACAAUUGGAAAUGAAUAUACAAGGCAACAACUGAUCUGUUUUCUUUUAAUAUAGAUUAAUUUUCAUUUUUUAGAUUUUUUAAACAAAUGAAAUAAUAUUAUAUAUAUAUAUUUAGUCUGAAUUUUCUCACUCAGCAUAAUGAUUUUUGAGAUUCAUCCAUCUUUUUGUUUAUCAGAGCUUAGGUUUUUUUUUUCAGUGUAUGGAUAUACUAUAUUUUGUCUAUAUAUUUAUCUUUUAAUUAACAGUUGGUGGUUUCCAGUUUUUUGGCUAUUACAAAUAAAAUUGCAAAUCUUUGUGUGGAUGUAUGUUUUUAUUUCUCUUAUUUUAAUUUGACGUUUCCUGAUUACUAGUAAAGUUAAUUAUCUUUUCAUAUUGUGUUAUCUACCUGAGCAUCCUCUCUUGUGAAUUGCCUAUUAGAAGCUGGGCAUAGUGGCUCAUGCCUGUAAUCCCGGCAAUUUCGGAGGCCAAAACCGGGGAAUCACUUGAGCCCAGGAGUUUAAGACCAUUCCUGGGCAACAUAGGGAGACUCCAUCUCUACAAGAAAAUUUAAAAAUUAGCUGGGCAUGGUGGUAUGUGCCUGUAGUUACAGCUAGUUGGAAGGCUGAGGUGGAAAGAUUGCUUGAGCCUGGGAGGUUGAGGCUGCAGUGAGCCAUGAUCACGCCACUGCACUCCAGCCUGGGAGGCAGCAAGACCGUGACUCAAAAAAUUAAUUAA